rnacentral:tRNA from 1 species
GGUGGCUCAGUGGUCAAGCGCUUGCCUCACAUGCAGGAGGCCCUGGGUUCGAUUCCUCAGCACCA